rnacentral:misc_RNA from 1 species
GCAAACUUGGUCAUUUAGAGGAAGUAAAAGUCGUAACAAGGUUUCCGUAGGUGAACCUGCGGAAGGAUCAUUACCGAGUGCGGGUUCUAACGAGCCCAACCUCCCACCCGUGUUUACUGUUACCGCGUUGCCUCGGCGGGCCCACUGGGGCCUGGCCCCGGUCGCCGGGGGGCUUCUGCCCCCGGGCCCGCGCCCGCCGAAGCACCCUAGAACCCUGCCUGAAUAGUGAGUCUGAGUGAGAGAUUAAAUCAUUAAAACUUUCAACAACGGAUCUCUUGGUUCCGGCAUCGAUGAAGAACGCAGC